rnacentral:rRNA from 1 species
AGAGUUUGAUCCUGGCUCAGGACGAACGCUGGCGGCGCGCCUAACACAUGCAAGUCGAACGAGCGAGAGAGAGCUUGCUUUCUCGAGCGAGUGGCGAACGGGUGAGUAACGCGUGAGGAACCUGCCUCAAAGAGGGGGACAACAGUUGGAAACGACUGCUAAUACCGCAUAAGCCCACGACCUGGCAUCGGGUUGAGGGAAAAGGAGCAAUCCGCUUUGAGAUGGCCUCGCGUCCGAUUAGCUAGUUGGUGAGGUAACGGCCCACCAAGGCGACGAUCGGUAGCCGGACUGAGAGGUUGAACGGCCACAUUGGGACUGAGACACGGCCCAGACUCCUACGGGAGGCAGCAGUGGGGAAUAUUGCACAAUGGGGGAAACCCUGAUGCAGCGACGCCGCGUGGAGGAAGAAGGUCUUCGGAUUGUAAACUCCUGUUGUUGAGGAAGAUAAUGACGGUACUCAACAAGGAAGUGACGGCUAACUACGUGCCAGCAGCCGCGGUAAAACGUAGGUCACAAGCGUUGUCCGGAAUUACUGGGUGUAAAGGGAGCGCAGGCGGGAAGACAAGUUGGAAGUGAAAUCCAUGGGCUCAACCCAUGAACUGCUUUCAAAACUGUUUUUCUUGAGUAGUGCAGAGGUAGGCGGAAUUCCCGGUGUAGCGGUGGAAUGCGUAGAUAUCGGGAGGAACACCAGUGGCGAAGGCGGCCUACUGGGCACCAACUGACGCUGAGGCUCGAAAGUGUGGGUAGCAAACAGGAUUAGAUACCCUGGUAGUCCACACCGUAAACGAUGAUUACUAGGUGUUGGAGGAUUGACCCCUUCAGUGCCGCAGUUAACACAAUAAGUAAUCCACCUGGGGAGUACGACCGCAAGGUUGAAACUCAAAGGAAUUGACGGGGGCCCGCACAAGCAGUGGAGUAUGUGGUUUAAUUCGACGCAACGCGAAGAACCUUACCAAGUCUUGACAUCCCUUGACGAUGCUGGAAACAGUAUUUCUCUUCGGAGCAAGGAGACAGGUGGUGCAUGGUUGUCGUCAGCUCGUGUCGUGAGAUGUUGGGUUAAGUC